UGAAAGUUUUAUAUAUAUAUAUAUGGUCUUCAUGGUAAGAUUUUUCAAGCUCUUCAAUAAGUGGUUAAUCACUUAUACAUUCAUAUAACAGCUAAAUCAGACCAAACCAACCACGACCCUAGCUCAGCUGUUACCUUACAACAAAGGUUGGAACUGUGGUGAUCAAUUCAAUCCUACAAGUUGAGCAUAAGCAGAUAUUCGCGGAAAAAAAAAAGUGAGAUAUUCAA
rnacentral:misc_RNA from 1 species